UACGUAGGUGGCAAGCGUUGUCCGGAUUUAUUGGGCGUAAAGGGAGCGCAGGUGGUUUCUUAAGUCUGAUGUGAAAGCCCACGGCUUAACCGUGGAGGGUCAUUGGAAACUGGGGAACUUGAGUGCAGAAGAGGAAAGUGGAAUUCCAAGUGUAGCGGUGGAAUGCGUAGAUAUUUGGAGGAACACCAGUGGCGAAGGCGACUUUCUGGUCUGUAACUGACACUGAGGCUCGAAAGCGUGGGGAGCGAACAGG
rnacentral:rRNA from 1 species